ACAAUGACCUGAGGAUUCAGAAGAGAAGAGGGUCAAGAUCAGAGUCAGGAUCAGGGUCAGGAUCAGAUAUAAACUCUGUGUUAAAUCUGCCUCCACAGGUUGAAUGAAGAGAAACAGCAGUUUGAAGGUGGAUUCAGUCUGAGCAGCCUUCAAACACCUUCUUCUUCUAAUCUCCAUCCAUUAUCUACACCUCUCAGCUGACACUGGGUGAGAGGCAGGUUCAUCCUGGCCUGAUCACGUCCAUCAGCAAAGGUCAAAGCUGACCACACACAGAGAAACUCGGAGCAGCUCAGUCUCUGAGGUUCAGGACUUGGACCUGGUUAAAGCUGUGAUGAACAGGACAUCUCCCUGAGAGGCUACAACCUCAUACCCUCCACUCUGACACAGUGAGGAGAGAUACACUGGACUUUACAUUCAGGUCUAAAUCUGGAUAAACACUCACCUCACUGCUCAGGGUAAAUCCACAUAAAUCCUGAUUCAUAUGUUGUUGUAUUCAGAUCUGAUGUAAAUUUAAUCUGUUUUUAUCUAUAAAUGUUAUUUUCAACGUCA